rnacentral:rRNA from 1 species
UACGGGAGGCAGCAGUGGGGAAUAUUGCGCAAUGGGGGAAACCCUGACGCAGCAACGCCGCGUGAAUGAUGAAGGCCUUCGGGUUGUAAAGUUCUGUCUUCUGGGACGAUAAUGACGGUACCAGAGGAGGAAGCCACGGCUAACUAC